CCCCUGGUGGUCUAGUGGUUAGGAUGCAGCUCUCUCACCGCUGCGGCUGAGGUUCGAUUCCUGGUCAGGGAA
rnacentral:tRNA from 1 species